GUGCCAGCAGCCGCGGUAAUACGUAGGUCACAAGCGUUGUCCGGAUUUAUUGGGCGUAAAGGGAGCGCAGGCGGUUUGUUAAGUCUGAUGUGAAAGCCCACGGCUCAACCGUGGAACGGCAUUGGAAACUGGCAAACUUGAGUAUAGAAGAGGAAAGUGGAAUUCCAUGUGUAGCGGUGAAAUGCGUAGAUAUAUGGAGGAACACCAGUGGCGAAGGCGACUUUCUGGUCUAUAACUGACGCUGAGGCUCGAAAGCGUGGGGAGCGAACAGGAUUAGAUACCCUGGUAGUCC
rnacentral:rRNA from 1 species